UGCUCAAACGACGUUCCAAGUCGUAAUACACACAGAGUUAUACUCUUAAAACACACACGAAUCACUAAUUAGUAUAGCGGGGUGCUGCUACGAUACAGGGUAUUAACUCGAUCGCUAUUACGAUUCAUUUUCCGACCGAUCAAUAUAUCCAAUGGAUGUUUAAGUGCCACCCACGUUAGGGUUAUACUUUGUCGUUCGUCGUUAAAUCGAUGGAUGUUUAAGUAUCGCACUUUGUCGUUCGUUGUGAGAAUUUGAUCUCGUGAGUUAUCGUAAUUGUUGUAUUAAGUUACCUACCUAGUUCGUAUGCACUAGGUUACAAGGCUAAAUCAAUAGGCUAAGCUCUGCCUGUGUAAAUCUGCAAUAUAUCAAGGCUUAUGUGUAGACUAAACUUUGGCCGUAUGAAUCUGCAUGAUUAUAAUGUAAUUACAGUAGACUGGAGUAAGGAUUGGAUCCGGCACUAAAAGACUUCAAGAAGUGGCUUAUUUUAUUAAUUAAAUCAGAUUAAGAAAUAUUGUUUUUAUUAAAAGCUACCUUUGUAAAACAUGGAAUUUAUUUCCAUCUAUUUAAAUAAAAUCCGGUGU
rnacentral:lncRNA from 1 species